ACGGCCCGCCCGCUCGUGUGAAUGCGGUGGAGCGCCUUUACUUUAUAAUACACAAUGGUUACAAAAACUUCAAGCAGCCUUAAUAAAGAAAAGUCAAAGACGAGAAUUCUCUCAAAGGAACUUUCUAAACAAGUGAGUAGUUCCGGGUACUCUUUAAAUUCCAAAACACUUGUGGCCAAACUAAUAGCAAAUGAAGUUUCAACAAAGGAUAUUUUAAAAAUAAUAGCAAGCCAAGAGUCGUUCGCGUAUCCAGACUUAAAAGAUAAGGCAAUUGUAGCGAAACCUGUUUCAUUAGCUUUUGGUUCAAAAGUUCCAAGAGACACAAGACCGCCUGUACAUCCUAAACUUGAUCCUUCGGGCCUGUACUCUACCAGGCCACUAGGAUGCGAUCCAUGCCUAUACCAUCCCAAACCCAUUGAGAUGACCUGCAACUCAAAGACCAUAAAAAAAGAACCUUGGCAAUGUAAAACAGAACUAGAGAGUUGGUCGAAAAACUUAGGUUACAGAAACCAAUAUAUAUUGAAACAACGCCGCUGGCAAUCGGCGAUUGGAGGACCAGCGUGGACUAACGUACCAGAUGAAGUUAAAUACGAACCAGCUUGUAAAAACGUAGGCUUCGGGCGCACUCCUCGAUUCAAACCACCAAAGCUCUCAUAUCCUGGACCAGGCACGUAUUACAAAGCCGUCCCUUACAAAGUUUCUUAUGGACCACAUUCCACUAGACCCACCUUUGAGAGAGAAGAGCCAUGCCGUUUCAAGGAUACUACACAGAAAUGGUCUCUACCUCCUAAUAUUUACCGUAUAAUAGAUAAAGAUUCUAUAGAGAAUAAACCCAAAAAAUUAGUAUCACGGCGAGGACCAUAUGAGUUGUUUUCGGGUCAACGAGACGAGUACUCGAUCCAUAACCAUUUCGCUUCAAACAGAUGCAGUGCGACGACUUGGCCAAUAGCUCUACCUGGUUGCUUGGAGAAAUAUAAGAAAGGGCAUUUCGGCGAGAUGAAUAAGACCAAUAUGGAUAAUCCACCAACAAAUAGAAUAGCAGUGAAUAACUUGGCGUCAUGUAAGCGGAGAAAGGAGGAACCGGGACCGGCAUCCUAUGACGUUGGCGAUCCUCCAAUACGAACCUUUAAGCAGAACAUUUACGGAUUCAACAGUUCAUACGAUAGGCCGCCAGGGUAUGUACGUACCAUAGUGUGGCCUGGCGUCGGCCGUUACUACGUAAAAACCGUCAGCUGUGGCCUCCCGGGAAAUGGUCAUCGUCACGUUUUUUUGAGCAAAGUCGGUCGAACUAUCGGAGCUCACAUUCAAAAACCUAUGAACUCAUUUUAAUUCUUUGCUCCCUUAGGCUGCAAAGGGCUGGCGAAAUUUGAGGUAACCAACUUUAAUAUUUUGGAGGAAAUACUGUCCCGUUUAAAAAAAAACACUAUAUACUUUUUCGCAUUUGGAAACAUUUUGUAUGUCAGCAAUCGUAACUUAUAUUUUUCACUGAAC